rnacentral:rRNA from 1 species
AGUGAACGCUGGCGGUAGGCCUAACACAUGCAAGUCGAACGGCAGCACAGUAAGAGCUUGCUCUUACGGGUGGCGAGUGGCGGACGGGUGAGGAAUACAGCGGAAUCUACUUUUUCGUGGGGGAUAACGUAGGGAAACUUACGCUAAUACCGCAUACGACCUACGGGUGAAAGCAGGGGAUCUUCGGACCUUGCGUGAUUGAAUGAGACGAUGUCGGAUUAGCUAGUUGGCGGGGUAAAGGCCCACCAAGGCGACGAUCCGUAGCUGGUCUGAGAGGAUGAUCAGCCACACUGGAACUGAGACACGGUCCAGACUCCUACGGGAGGCAGCAGUGGGGUAUAUUGGACAAUGGGCGCAAGCCUGAUCCAGCCAUACCGCGUGGGUUGAGAAGGCAUUCGGGUUGUAAAGCCCUUUUGUUGGGAAAGAAGAGCAGCAGGUUAAUACCCCGAUGUUCUGACGGUACCCAAAGAAUAAGCACCGGCUAACUUCGUG